ACUCCCAAUCCUUGUACCAGUG
rnacentral:miRNA from 1 species